rnacentral:rRNA from 1 species
CCUACGGGAGGCAGCAGUGGGGAAUCUUGCACAAUGGGGGAAACUCUGAUGCAGCGACGCCGCGUGAGUGAAGAAGUAUUUCGGUACGUAAAGCUCUAUCAGCAGGGAAGAAAAUGACGGUACGUGACUAAGAAGCCCCGGAUAACUACGUGCCAGCAGCCGCGGUAAUACGUAGGGGGCAAGCGUUAUCCGGAUGUACUGGGUGGAAAGGGAGCGUAGACGGGAGAGCAAGUCUGAAGUGAAAGCCCGCGGCCCAACCGCGGGACUGCUUUGGAAACUGGCCGGCUAGAGUGCUGGAGAGGAAAGCGGAAUUCCUGGUGUAGCGGUGAAAUGCGUAGAUAUUAGGAGGAACACCAGUGGCGAAGGCGGCUUACUGGACAGUAACUGACGUUGAGGCUCGAAAGCGUGGGGAGCAAACAGGAUUAGAUACCCUUGUAGUC